CACGUAGGGUGCGAGCGUUGUCCGGAAUUAUUGGGCGUAAAGAGCUCGUAGGCGGUGUGUCGCGUCGGCCGUGAAAACCUGCAGCUUAACUGUGGGCUUGCGGUCGAUACGGGCAUCACUGGAGUUCGGCAGGGGAGACUGGAAUUCCUGGUGUAGCGGUGAAAUGCGCAGAUAUCAGGAGGAACACCGGUGGCGAAGGCGGGUCCCUGGGCCGAUACUGACGCUGAGGAGCGAAAGCGUGGGGAGCAAACAGG
rnacentral:rRNA from 1 species